rnacentral:rRNA from 1 species
GAUGAACGCUGGCGGCGUGCCUAAUACAUGCAAGUCGAGCGAACAGUCGAGGAGCUUGCUCCUCUGACGUUAGCGGCGGACGGGUGAGUAACACGUGGAUAACCUACCUAUAAGACUGGGAUAACUUCGGGAAACCGGAGCUAAUACCGGAUAAUAUAUUGAACCGCAUGGUUCAAUAGUGAAAGACGGUUUUGCUGUCACUUAUAGAUGGAUCCGCGCCGCAUUAGCUAGUUGGGAAGGUAACGGCUUACCAAGGCAACGAUGCGUAGCCGACCUGAGAGGGUGAUGGGCCACACUGGAACUGGACCACGCCCCAGACUCCUACGGGAGGAAGCAGUAGGGAAUCUUCCGCAAUGGGCGAAAGCCUGACGGAGCAACGCCGCGUGAGUGAUGAAGGUCUUCGGAUCGUAAAACUCUGUUAUUAGGGAAGAACAAAUGUGUAAGUAAAUAUGCACGUCUUGACGGUACCUAAUCAGAAAGCCACGGCUAACUACGUG